rnacentral:rRNA from 1 species
GGCCAGAUGUGGAAGCCCGGUAACGGGUGGAGCUGACUGGUACUAAUAGGCCGAGGGCUUGUCCU